rnacentral:rRNA from 1 species
ACGCUCGACACCUACGGGAGGAGCAGUGGGGAAUAUUGCACAAUGGGGGAAACCCUGAUGCAGCGACGCCGCGUGAGCGAAGAAGUAUUUCGGUAUGUAAAGCUCUAUCAGCAGGGAAGAAAAUGACGGUACCUGACUAAGAAGCCCCGGCUAACUACGUGCCAGAAGCCGCGGUAAUCUGAGCGGGCUGGCAAGGC